rnacentral:rRNA from 1 species
UACAGAGGGGGCAAGCGUUAUUCGGAAUUAUUGGGCGUAAAGGGCGCGUAGGCGGCUUUGCAAGUGACGGGUGAAAUCCCUCGGCUUAACCGAGGAACUGCCUGUCAAACUGCAUGGCUUGAGACCGGGAGAGGUGAGUGGAAUUCCCAGUGUAGCGGUGAAAUGCGUAGAUAUUGGGAGGAACACCAGUGGCGAAGGCGGCUUCUUGGGCCGUUCCUGACGCUGAGGCGCGAAAGCUGGGGGAGCGAACGGG